rnacentral:misc_RNA from 1 species
GCCUGCUCCGGGAUGAGAAACUCGGAGAACCGGUUGGAGUUGUGCCUCCUCUAUAAGUGGCAUUAAAUGAAGUGUAUGCUGCCUUGGCUGGUUCGGGAACCGAAUCUAAUGGAAUCGACUCUGCGAAGCAAGCAGUGUUUAUUCGUGUUCUCUCAAGCUCUUGUUGAAGCAAUUCUGUGCUGUACUGCUGUGCCAGUGCAAUGAGUUCAUCUGGGGCAGUUGCUCCCUGUUGUCGUUCAUCUAGAGCUUCCUCGCUCCCACGAGUUGGCCGACGAUUAUGGCCUGGAUUAUCAGCUGCCUCUGUCACACUUUCAG